UACGAAGGGUGCAAACGUUGCUCGGAAUUAUUGGGCGUAAAGCGCACGUAGGCGGCUUUGCAAGUCGGAUGUGAAAUCUUAUGGCUUAACCAUAAAAGUGCAUCCGAAACUGCAGUGCUUGAGUACUUAAGAGGAUCGCGGAAUUCCCGGUGUAGAGGUGAAAUUCGUAGAUAUCGGGAGGAACACCAGUGGCGAAGGCGGCGAUCUGGGAAGAUACUGACGCUGAGGUGCGAAAGCGUGGGGAGCAAACAGG
rnacentral:rRNA from 1 species